UUCCACAGGUACUGGUCUGAAAUUACUUGGCUUAUAGUGGUUUCAGGUUUCCUUCUGUGGGAUAGUAAGUGUUGUACUACUUUCAUUAGACCUUUUGUGUGACUUUAAAGGGCUCAGUAGUGCAACAGACAUGU